rnacentral:rRNA from 1 species
UACGUAGGGGGCAAGCGUUGUCCGGAAUUAUUGGGCGUAAAGCGCGCGCAGGCGGUGAUUUAAGUCUGAUGUAUAAACUUUAGGCUCAACCUAGGGUGGCAUUGGAAACUGGAUGACUGGAGUGUAGGAGAGGGAAGUGGAAUUCCACGUGUAGCGGUGAAAUGCGUAGAUAUGUGGAGGAACACCAGUGGCGAAGGCGACUUUCUGGCCUAUAACUGACGCUGAGGCGCGAAAGCGUGGGGAGCAAACAGG